GACCUGCGAGUCAAGGGUGAGGAAGAAAGAAGAGGAUGGCGCUGGACCUGCGAGUCAAGAGGGAGGAAGAAAGAAGAGGAAUGCGCUGGACCUGUGAGUCAAGGGUGAGGAAGAAAGAAGAGGACGGCGCUGGGCCUGCGAGUCAAGAGGGAGCAAGAAAGAAGAGGAUGGCGCUGGACCUGCGAGUCAAGAGGGAGGAAGAAAGAAUUGCACGGCCCUGGACCUGUGAGUGAAGAGUUAGCUUCAGCUAGCAAGCCUGAUAUACCUGAGCGAGGGGACGACAGCACAGAGGCUUCUGCCAGUAACAGUGAGCACCUGACUGGUUAGAGGAGCAAGUGGACAAGCAGAUCCUGGGGCACAGCACAGGGAGAGCACCGAUUCCCCAAGAAAAUGCCAUUGUGCACCAUAGGGGGUACACUCUGCAACUUUCAAGCCCGCUUGUGCCUUAGCUCACACCUACGACAUUGCGCUGCAGAUGCGAUUUUAACUUGGCACUAGUUGUUGUAGUGUUUGGCUUUGGUGAGGCCAGUGUGUGUUGGUCGUCGGGUAGCGUAGGGUGGGCUCUUAAGGAGAGAGCGAGGUUUUUCAUGCAGGAGCUGUCUGACGCUGGAGUGUUGUUGUGGAAGUGUUCACGUUGGCGUUGUCUGAUGUUGGAGCAUUCUUGCAGGACGAGCGGAUUCCUUUGUGAAGGCUGGUCCAGGAGGUGGCGUAGAGCGAGUAGGGAAGCAGUUUAGUGUGAGAGGACGAACCGUGGAUGGUUUGAAGGUAGAUGUUGGACAGUUGUUGUUUGGACAGGUACAAGUUUGGUGUAGCGUAGGGAGCGAAGUUGACUUUGCCUGUGUGGUGCAAUUGGAUGGGUGUGGAGAGCUAAUGCGAAGCGGGCUUCUGCAAGUGACCCUAAAGCUGAAGCUCCAGCCGGCAGCUGUAGGCAAGUUCGCGCUGCCUGGACGGGCGGAAGAGGGCCGUGCACGGCUAGUGGAGUGAAGCACAGCAAGCUUGCAGCUCCGCAAACCACAGCUCGCAAAGAAGAAAGCAAGGCAGAAGAGGACGGUGCUGG